rnacentral:rRNA from 1 species
UACGGGGGGGGCAAGCGUUGUUCGGAAUUACUGGGCGUAAAGGGCUCGUAGGCGGCCAACUAAGUCGGACGUGAAAUCCCUCGGCUCAACCGGGGAACUGCGUCCGAUACUGGAUGGCUUGAAUCCGGGAGAGGGAUGCGGAAUUCCAGGUGUAGCGGUGAAAAUGCGUAGAUAUCUGGAGGAACACCGGUGGCGAAAGGCGGCAUCCUGGACCGACAUUGACGCUGAAAACCGAAAGA